GAAUACCAAAUGUAAUAGGCUGCAUCGAUGGAACCCAUAUUGCGAUUUAUGCUCCUACCACAAACAAACACCUCUAUCUAAACAGAAAAGGAUUUUUUAGCAUAAAUGCAAUGAUUGCUUGUGAUCAUGAUAUGAAUAUCCGUUUUGUGGAUGCUAGAUAUGCUGGUUCUACACACGAUUCGUUCGUAUGGAACAAUAGUUCUCUAAAGGCAUGUUUAGAGGCAGCGCAUCAAAACGGAGAUCAGAACUCUAUUUAUUUAGGUGACUCCGGAUACCCACUAAGCCCUUAUUUAUUAACACCUUUCCGUCAUGCAGAAUCUGGAACUAGGA